ensembl:misc_RNA Metazoa_SRP Metazoan signal recognition particle RNA
GCUGGGCGUGGUGGCUCAUGCCUGUAAUCCCAGCAUUUUUGGAGGCUGAGGUGGGUGGAUCAUCUGAGGUCAGGAAUUCGAGAUCAGGAAUUCGAGAUCAGCCUGACCAAUAUGGUGAAACUCCAUCUCUA